ACGGAAGUAACGAAGGGCGCACGGGGGAUGCCUAGGCUCUCGGAGGCGACGAAGGACGUGAUAAGCUGCGAUAAGCUUGGGGGAGGGGCACAUACCCGCUGAUCCCAGGAUUUCCGAAUGGGGCAACCCACUUGGUUGAAGACCAAGUAUUCGAUCCGCAAGGACGAAGGCGAACGCGGGGAACUGAAACAUCUAAGUACCCGCAGGAACAGAAAAUAACAAUGAUUCCCCCAGUAGUGGCGAGCGAACGGGGACGAGCCCAAACCGGGUUGGUUACGGCCAGCCCGGGGUUGUAGGACCACGGCGUGGGACCUUUUUACGGUAGUCGAAACAGGUGGGAAACUGUACCAGAGACGGUGAGAGUCCGGUAGACGACAUUGUAAGAGGCCCUAGUGGACUCCUGAGUAGGGCGGGGUUGGAGACGCCCCGUCCGAAUCCGCCGGCACCAUCCGGCAAGGCUACAUACUCCCGAGAGACCGAUAGUGAACCAGUACCGUGAGGGAAAGGUGAAAAGAACCCCGGAUAGGGGAGUGAAAAGAACCUGAAACCGUGCGCUUACAAGCGGUCGGAGCCCCGGUUGUGGGGUGACGGCGUGCCUUUUGCAUAAUGAGCCUACGAGUUGCUCCUCCCUGGCAAGGUUAAGCGCUUGGAAGCGCGGAGCCGCAGCGAAAGCGAGUCUGAACAGGGCGCAGAGUCAGGGGGGGCAGACGCGAAACUUUGUGAUCUACCCAUGGGCAGGGUGAAGGUUGGGUAACACCAACUGGAGGCCCGAACCAGUUUCCGUUGAAAAGGAUUUGGAUGACCUGUGGGUAGGGGUGAAAGGCCAAUCAAACUGAGAAAUAGCUCGUACUCCCCGAAAUGUAUUGAGGUACAGCGUCGUGGUCGAGUCACCUGGAGGUAGAGCUACCGAUUGGACUAGGGGGUGUCACAGCCUACCGAAUCCAGACGAACUCCGAAUGCCACGGUGAUAUACACGGCAGUGAGGCCUGGGGUGCUAAGGUCCCAGGCCGAGAGGGAAAGAACCCAGACCAUCCGCUAAGGUCCCUAAAUCCGGGCUAAGUUGAACAAAGGAGGUCCAGUUGCCUUGACAGCCAGGAUGUUGGCUUGGAAGCAGCCAUUCAUUUAAAGAGUGCGUAACAGCUCACUGGUCGAGCGACAGGGCAUCGAUAAUACGCGGGCAUCAAGUCCGGUACCGAAGCGAUGGGUUGCAGCUUGCUGCAGCGGUAGGGGAGCAUUCCAGCAGCGGCGAAGCCGCGACCGGGAGGCGCGGUGGAGCGGCUGGAAAAGCAAAUGUAGGCAUGAGUAACGAUAAUGGGGGUGCGAAACCCCCACGCCGAUAGACUAAGGUUUCCUGCUCAACGCUAAUCGGAGCAGGGUUAGUCGGGACCUAAGGCUAAGCCGACAGGCGAUGAC
rnacentral:ncRNA from 1 species